rnacentral:lncRNA from 1 species
CCCUGCUUCUGGCACCCACUCCUAUUCUGUAGUAAAGUUGAGGAUGAGCCUGGGUGCUGUCACAACCUAGCUGGGUGUGUGUGUGUGCUUGAGGCAGUGCUGACAUGCCAGGCCCCUGCCACCUCAGCCCCCAUCCGACUUUGGGCACUGACAAGCACAGGAGGGAGGCUGAGGUGGGGGCUGAGAGCAGCUCAGUGCAGGGCCUACAGGCACCCCUUGGCACAAACAGCCUGGGCACUGUGCAUGGCAGGUUGAUGGUGGCAGGAGGUAGACACACUCCUGGGCACAAAGGAGCAGGUCACCCAGCGAAGCCCCACCUUCAAGCCAGGGACAGAGUGAAGCCUGGGGGUCAGGUUAUCAGUUCUGCAGACUGGAUAGAAAACUUAUGGUGCUUUUUCUGGGCCUGCCCACGGCUGCCCACGGACCAGUCAGCAUGCAGUAUCUCCCCUCUAAAGCCCAUAAAACCCCCAGACUCAGCCAGGCUUGGGUAGAGGAUGGGACAACUUGCCUGUGGAUAGGAGCUACCAACUCUGGGCCUCCUCUCCACUGAGGGCUGCAGACAACAGGUUGACCUGGCUGCAGAGAGGAGCUACCUCUGUGGUCUCCUCUGAGCUGCUCUGUCCCUCAAUUAAGCAUCUCUUUGCCUUGCUCACUCUCCACUUGUCCACAUACCUCAUUCUUUCUGGACAUGGGACAAGAACUCAGGAACUGCCAAAUAUGGCAGGGCUGAAAGAGCUGUAACACAAGCAGGGCUGAAACAUGCCCCUUGCUCACCACAUUGCAGGCAACAAGGAGGAAAGAAGAGAGAAAAAGAGAAGACCUGCAGCCUUUCGAGGAGCCCAGAUCUAGGAGCUCCCAAGCCAGGGCUGUGAGGCCCUCAUUGGGGGUCUGCAGUUCCUGGCAUCUCCAAGCUUGUGGACACCACCAUGUUCCCCCGUGCCAGCCAUGGAAGAUGCUUGUGGUAUGCCUGGUCCAGCCACAGUCUAGCAGGGAGCCAGCACCCUUGCCAACACCUGGAGCUGUCCACCCCACCACAGCAGGCGUACCUCAGUGUGUGCAGUGACUGAACCCCACACUCGCUUGCUCACACACCACUCAAUACUCUGCACUGGGGUUGCCCUUGGCAGGUGAGGGAUCCAGGCCAGUAACGCGAGUCGAGCACAGCCUGCCAGGCUAAGUGGGCAGAAUGAGCCCAGCAGGCCUGAGCAAAACUUGGGCAAAGGCACCAGCAGCCACAGAGGUUUCUGGCUGGAAAAGCGACAACACCCCAAGGAUCCUGUGACUCUGGGAAUACAGCAAUGGACAAAGACAAAAAUCCCAGCUCUCGUGGAGCUCACAUUCUUAAUACUUUACAUUUUUAACUAGUAAGAAUCAUUAGCUUAAGAAUUUAUUAAAUCUGCAUGACAGUAUUUCAAGGUUAACAUAAAAUUUUUUAAAUCAAUGAAUACAAAAUAAUAAAAUAAAGACAAAGAUUCAAUUAAUUCAAAAUAAAACAAUAUGAACAAAACAAGUAUAAAAAUACAUUAUACAUGAAUAAGAGGGGCAAAACAAGCCCAACUACAUUAUUAAUCACUAUAACCACCAAUUUAAAUUUAAAUAGCUUACCAGAUUGGAUUUUAAAAAUCCAGCUCUAUGCUAUUUAAAAGAGACAUAUCUAUGAGGACAUGAGGACAAGGAAAAUAUUUCCAUAGUUUUAAUGAUAGAAAAUCAUGUAGUGUAGGGCCAUACUGUUUCCUGUUGUCAGCCAAUUUGUAGUUCAGAUUGCCCAGAAAAAUACCAUGCUUUCUGUCAGUGGGUUAUUCACCAUGUUUAAUUUAUUUGCCUUGUUUCAAUGAAAGGAGAUUUACUGGCAAUCUGCACAGAGAAGUGGUAAGACUGAUUUAUUUGUUAGUCUAUUAGAAAUUUAAAAAUUUUGUUCUUUGUCACUGAUUAGCAUAGUCUCAGUUUAUGAAGUUAGACAUUGCUGCUGGGUGCAGUGGAUCACAUCUGUAAAUCCCAGCACUUCGGGAGGCUGAGGUGGGUGGAUCACUUGAGCUCAGGAGUUCAACACCAGCCCAGGCAACAUAGUGAAAUCUCAUCUCUACAAAUACAAAAAUUAGCAGGGCGGGGUGGCGCCUUCCUGUGUUCCCAGCUACUCAAGGAGCUGAGGUGGGAGGAUUGCUGGAGCCUGGGAGGUCCAGGCCAGAGUGAGUGCAGAUUACAUCACUACACUGCAGCCUGGGUGACAGAGUGAGAAGGUGUCUCAUGUUCUAAAAACUAAAAAAACAAACAAACAAAAAAAAAACCCCACAAAGUUAGAGAUUGCUUUCUCUUACAUUACCACUCUCAACUCAAAGCUUUUAGCAAUUUUUAUGUGAGGCAAGACUAAAUAAACUGAUAAGUGUACAAUUAUUCUUGUGGGUAAUUUUUCUUUCUGCAUUUUGGUGUUGUAAACUGUGUACAUUAGAUGGCAAUACUAUAGUGUGAGAGAGAGAAUUAGCGAUCUAGUACUUGUUUUCAUGAGCUGUAUCACCAGAGGGCACCAAAGGACCAGUUAUGAGCAAAAAAAAAAAACAACAAAAAAAACCCAUUCGGGAAAAAACCACUGUAAUGAUUGCACUGUUUUUACCCAACCUUUUCACAAGCACAUAUCUGGCCAGUGUGAAGACUUUCCGCCUCAUAAAGGUUUUCCUGGAGAUUGUAUACCUGUUAAAUAAUGGAUCUUCCUUGCUGGAAGGAAAAUGACCAACACAGAGACUUAGAUUUGAAAGGACUGAUCCGCCUGGCCAAAUUUGGCAAUUCCAACCAGGUAGUGAUGUUCCUUAUUGUUUUCACUCAUGGCAAAGAUUCUCAGCUAUCUAGGAACUUAAGCUUCCUAGGCCUUUGCAUCCGUCAGGAGAAUUCUAACUAGCUGGCUCAAUGUGACAAGUGACAUGUUAUUCCCCUGCCUCCAACCCACUUUAAUAUAUUUAUUCUUUAAUUAAUAUUCACUGCAGUUGGAAUACUUUAAUUCUUGACUCUCUAAGACAAGUGGAGAAAUCUUAAAGGCAGGUUUGAGAAUUGAGGCCACAUUACAAAACAAAACAAAACCAAACACCUCCCAAGAAAGUGUAAAGUGUUUUGAAGAACUGUCUGUAUCACCACAUUCCAUUCCAGAGUAUAAGCAAUGUCUGGCGCAUUAAAGAUACUAACACACACAAAUGAACAAUGUAAAAUGGAUGAAAUCUGAAUAGUCUAUUAACUGUACCAACAUCAAUUUCUAUGUUUUGAUACUGAACUAUAGUUAGUAAGAUGUCACCAUGAGGGAGAACUAGGUGAAGGAGUACAGGGGACCUCUUUGUGCUAGUUUUCAACUUCCAGUAAAUCUAUAAAAGGAUCAAUAAAGGCCUUUAAACAAUAUAGUCUCCUUACCAUCCAUGACCCUUUUCAAAACUGAAAUUAUUGUUAGACUACUUCCCAGAAAUGUAUUUCUAGUUAGUAGGGAUGGGUAGACAAAGGAAAAAUCUUAGAACCUGUCAAUGGUUUUAUAGGAUCAUUUCACUAUGGGAAAGAUCAUCAAAGAUUGUUAAGUAGACAAACGACCAAUGGAGUUAUUAAUAUAAUGCACUGAUUUCAAGUUAAAAUUAAAAUAAAGAACUUGCUAGAAAAAAAAAAGAUGCUGAGCAAAUAUUUAAUUGAAUUUCUUGAUUUACAAUCAAGUGCAAAGAGCUGGUCGGUGGCCAGUGAACUAUCCGUCUUUAAGUUAAAGUUAUAAAUCAUUUUGGAUUUUGGGUUCCUCAUCUCUUUAGGGGAUUAGGCUCCUGAUUAGGUUUGUUACACAUUUGCUUUGACCAUUGUCACUGCCUGGAUACUGACCCAUAUCCUUGCUGUCACAGUAGAGGAUUCCGUAUUUUUCUUAGCUUUCCUAAAGGCAGUGACAUUGUUGAAAAUUUCCAGAGCCCUGUGCUCCCAGGAAAAAGCAAUGGUUUUAAAAAAAAACCUUUUAUGUUGUGAGAAACAGUUAACUUCAAGGAACCACCUCCCUUGGCAUAUCCAAGAACUGACCCCCCCCAUCCUUCCCCUUGACUCCCUUGUUUACCUGCCUCUAUAAAACCCCAAGCCUCCUUCAUUUCUUUGACACAUUCUGCUGCAGAAAUGAAAAUUCUCCCUAUUAUAAUAUCUAAAGCAAAAUUAUCUUUAUUGCCUGGUGCAUUUUGUCUUUCACGCCAACUUCCAUUCAAAGCUUUAUUAUUUGUUUUCUCUGGCCCUUUUUAGGCCACAUGGUUAAAAUGAGGGUAUAUUUUCCUAUACGCUUCAAGAUCAUUAAGAAAUUAAUCUAUAUGAUUGAGCUAAGAAAUUGAUUUUUUUCUAUUCUUACCAGAAAAAUACUAAGUCUGUUGUUCAGAGAACAUCUGUCUCCUACACCAAAGAUACUGAAGAAAGACUCAUUGUUCUGAACAAGGUAAAAGAAUUAUUCAAUUUGCUCUACAAUUAUCUGUAAAAAAAAAAAAUACAUAUGACUUUGCAAAGAGACUUUAAUGUUUGUGUUCCGUUCGGUUCUGUUUCCUCAACUCUGCUACAUUUCACAGAAAUAACAAAAACCUGCUAUGUACUAAAAAUGCUGGGAAGUCCUUUCCCAUACAUAUUUUUUUGCUCACAGCAAUUCUAAAAGAAAGGUAUUCUCAUUCCCAUGUUUCUGAGGAAGAAGCACAGUCUGUAUGGAGGAGAGUUCAGGCUCUAGUGCAGGUGCCAGGCUUUGAAUAUUGGCUUUACCACUACCUACCAUACUGACCUGGAGCAAGUUACUCACCUAUCUUGAUCUCAGCUUCUUUUUCUUUAAAAUGGGAAUGAUAAUAGUACCUACCUCGUAGGGUUGUUGUUAGCAUUCAGUUUAAUAUAUGCAAAGCACACAUAAUAAUGCCAGGCACAAACAAUGAAUAUCAAACAUAAGGCUUAGACAACUUACUCUAGUGAGCAUUGCUUAGCCAAUUUCACAUUGCUAGAAAGUGGCUAUACCAGAAUCCAAACCCAGAUAUUGCUGACUUCAAAACUAAGACACUUUCUAUUUCAUAACACUGAAGAAGCUGGGAGAAAGGUUAAAAGAGCAUUAUUGAAUGAAAGAAAAGCCUGAUACAUUUGAUUAUAUUAAGAAGCUUGAUUGAUCAAAAGGAACCAUGAAAAAGUGAAGGGGUAAGCUAGAAGACUCAAACUGAGAGUAUACAAAGAAAUCCUACAAAUCAAUAAGACAAAUAGAAAAUGGGCAAAAUUUGAACAGGCACCUUACAAAAGAAAUCCAAAUGAACAAUAAACAUGAAUAGAAGUUUCUCAUUUUAGCAAACAGAGAAAUAUAAUUUACAACCAAAAUAAGAUACCAUUGGUUAUUCACCAGCUUGGCAAAAACUAAAGUCUGCAAACCCAAAUUUAGGCAAAGAGAACUCACACUUGGAAAAACCACUUUGGGAAAGUUUGGUAAUAUAUAGUAAAGAUGUUGAUAUGAAUUCCAUAAGACUUAGGAAUUUCCAAUCUUAGGUGUGUAUGCUAGAGCAGUGGUCUUCGAUUAGGAGGAACAUGGAACUUUGUGCAUGGUGACAGACAGCUGUAUGGAAAUCAGCUCUGCUCUCACACGUACUUCUAAAGUGAUCUGGCUGGUAAUGCGCCCAGGCUUGAGGUUCUUUCCCUCCAUCAUCCCUUUCACAAAGAAAGCCUCACCUCAUCCAGAAUCUUGCUAUGGUGCACUGCCACAAGGCAUCAAACCUUGGGGACAAAGAAAUAAUUUAAUAAUUCCCUUAAUGAAAGCAACAUAAAUUAUCCCCUCCCAUAUCUAAUUCCAUCUCAUCAAGAGUUACGAUUAUCUAUCACAUUUCUAAUAUACUUCUUGUUUUGAUCAACUGUGUACUAUUGAUAACUGCAGAAUUAACUUACUCCAGAAUAACUUUUACACCCUUAGAACUUAGAAUAUUGGGGUCAGAGGAAAUUGUAAAAGAUAAAUUUCAAUUUACAUGCACAUUUUUGUUACAAAGAAAUGUGGUACAGUUAUUAAUAAAAGACUUGAAAAUAGCACUCUCUAGAGUAUUACCCAUUAGGACAAAAUUUUGCUAGAGGCAUGUAAAUAUAAUUUGAAAAAGAAAUGAUAAGAACUUUGACCACUAAGGAAGAAUUUGUUCAUUAGAAAAUGAAUGAUUCUAUCAAAUCAUAUAAAUACCAUAUUCCACUGGAUACAUUUAGAUACAUUUUUAAAGUAAUGCAAAAAAAAGUAAUGUGCAGUUGGUACUUUAAAAUGUUAAUACUUGCAAUGUGCCAAAAAUUACAUUCUAUGACAAGAUGAAAAUUUUUCAGUAUUUAAGAAAGUUUAAAAAAAAUCUUUGAUGUGCUACACAAGCAACAAAAUGUGAAGAUCCCUUUCCUAGAGAAACACAUACACCAGGCUACCUGUACAAGAACAUUCAGAGCACAUGUCUGUCAACAGAACAGGUAAAUAAAUUAUGCCUACUCCGGAUGCCUACUAUGGAUGACUAUAUUACAAUGAAUUACUGCCUAACAAUGAAAAUGAACUACACCUUCACACAAAAACAUAAAUGAUUCUCUUAAAGUUAAUGCUAAGCCAAAGCAGCAAGACCAAAAAUUCUUAUGGUAAGAUUACAUUUAUGUUCAUAACCAAACCAAACCAAACUGUAUCGCUUAGGAAUGUGUGAUAGCUUAUAUUACAUUUCUAAGAAUUCCCUCCUCCUUUCCUGUAAGAGUAUUACUCAGUGCCAUGUGACUUGUGCUCUUUCCCUAUGGAAUCUAGCUCCCCAACCCUUCAACUCCUUGGCUUUGCCAUGUGACAUACUUGAGUCAAUUAAAGGAGUAGACUGAUGCUCAUCACCUUCAAUCAGAGGCUCCAAGAGUUUCCAACAGUUCUAACUGCCCUUUGGAAUCCCAAAAGGAACUUUUCUCUCAAUGUGGAAUCUGGAAUGAAGAGAUGUGAGGAGUAUAUCCUAAGCCCCUAUUGAUGCAAGAAAUACACAUUUGUUUUUGUAAGCCACUGAGAUGUUCCUAUUGUCCAUGAUGGCAGUAAAGCUGAUAGGAUGCAACAGAGGUAGUAAACUUUUCAAGCAAGGCAAGAAAAUGGCUAACACAAAACUGAAGACCGCAGAAAGGUAACAGGUUGUGAUCCAGAAGAAGUAUAGGGAGGGAGGCAUGGAGUAAUAGUAUUGUUCCAACUGCUGAUCUGAGUAGUAGUUACAAAGGCACAUGCUUUAUAUUAUUCAGUAAACUAUAUACAAAUAUCUCAUAAACUUUUCCACAUUUCCUUUUUUCCAUUACAAAUGUAAAAAAAAAGGUGAAAGACAUUAAUUCACAAGGACUUAUGAAUGUCCUUAGCCUAAUACUUUUCAAAUAUAAGUUACUCCAUAUACCUCCCUUUACCAUUAAUGUUAAACAUUUAUCACUGAGAUACUACUAGGAGAUAGAUUACAUUUUACAGUAAAAACCCAGUUCAUUUAUCCUCUGAAAAUCUGUCAUGGAAUGUCCUGAAAUGCCUACCUUACAUGAGACAAAACACCUGUGUAAGCCAAUAUAACUAAAAUUAAUCACACAUUUUUUGCUUUUAAUUCAAUUUACUCAGUAAAUAUGUAGUGUCUUAUAGUAAAAUGAACAAGAUAAACAUAGCCUUCUUGCUCAUGAAACUGACAAACAUGAAACAUAUAUAUAUGUAUAUAUGUGUGUGUGUGUGUGUGUGUGUGUGUGUGUGUGUAUAUAUAUAUUCCCAAGGGCAGCAAGAGCUAUAAAUGCUGCUGCAAAGUAAGGAAAUAAUGUUCCAGGAAAAAAAAAUUAAGUACUGGAUGAUUAGGCUAGAGAUUAGAUCAGGUAACUCAUGCCUGAUAAGUGCUUUAAAAUCUAACCCUUAACAUCUAAUAUGCUCACCUUCAGAAAAUCCUUAAUGCACUACAGACAAGACACAAAAAGAUAAAUAAAUGUUGACUAUAAUAAACUGGUAUUCCCUGCUGGGAUACAACAGGGGCUGGUCAGCUUAAGCUGGUGAGCAUAAGCAGAAAGUGAUAGAAUGACUAUGUGAGAAAGAUUUAUGCUUCCCAUCCACCACAUAGUUGUUCCUGAGAAGUGAUUACCCAACUAAAGAUUGUACUUCCCAGAUGCCCCUUGCUUAUCUGCACAGGGACGUGCAAUUCGUUUUCACCCUUGGAAUGCGAGUUGGUGGUGUGAUACUCUGGGCGAAGCUAAUUAAGCAGGUGGGCCUUCUCCACUCUUUUCCUCAACCCCAGACUGCCAACUUCAAGUGAGGUCUUGUCAACCCUGGGGCGGCAGUCACAAGCUGGAAGACACCUGGGUCCUUCAGUCACACCAUGUGGAAAGCUGCCUCAAUACCCACAUUGGUUCCUUGUAAAAACGAGAAAUAAACUUUUGUUUUCUUUUGAGAUGGAGUCUCACUCUGUAGCCCAGGCUGGAGUGCAGUGGAGCUCUUGGUUCACUGCAACUUCCGCCUCCCAGGUCCAGGUUCAAGCAGUUCUCCUGCCUCAGCCUCCCCAGUAGCUGGGAUUACAGGCACAUGCCACCAUGCCCAGCUAAUCUUUGUAUUUUUAGUAGAGAUGGGGUUUCACCAUGUUGGCUAGGCUAGUCUUGAACUCCUGAUGUCGUGAUCUAUCCCCCUCAGCCUCCCAAAGUGCUGGGAUUAUAGGCGUGAGCCACCGUGCCCAAACUUUUUCUUAUGCUACCAAAAGUUUGAUGUCACCUAUCAUAGCACUUGGUGUUAUUUUAACUAACAGAAUGUUUAAUCAGACUUUCAAAUGUUGAGAUGAGGGCAAGAGUCAGGUAGCAAUCAAUCUCUCUCUUAAUCUCAAUUAAGUGUGAUUCCCAGUUAGACUUUUAGUCAUCCUGGGUUGUCGGUGCACGUGCAGAGAAUUAACAGCAUUUAGAGAUUCUUAAAGCAGCAGCAGAGGCUGCACAGUUGGAUAAGCCAUGGAUUUCUCAAAUAAAUUUGAGCGAGACCCACACAACCUUGAGCAGACUUAUAAGAUGAAUUUGUUUCAGAUUCCUCAGCGCAUGUCAGAACCCACUUCCUCCCCACUCACAUCUGUUAGAUUCCUUCCCACCCUUUGUACUCACUCACUAGGGAGCUUGCAGCCAUUCCAAGCCACUCACGAGCAAGCAUAGGGCUUAGGAGCACAAACAUGGUACUUUUUAGAAGAAAUGCACAGAGGCUUUGUCUCCAGUAUAGUACUAAUCAGUCCCUUUACUUCUCAACUCUUAGGUGCCUAUUUCCAACUAUACUCAACAGAUACACAAGUGGAAUGUGUAUAAAUUAUGCACAUGAAAAGGGAACACUUCAAAGCUCCUUCAAGCUUGAGGUUUAUUUGGAUAUAAAGGUAUACUUAUUAAAGUGGUAAGUUUUCUUUUGGUCAUGGCAACUCAUUAAUCAGGCAACAAUUUACUGAACUCCGAAUUCUUAACACUUCACUGGGAGAGAGGGAAAAGGACAAGAGAGUAUGAGGAAAAACGUUUAAAAGAGAAAGUUCUGGUAUACACUUGCCCAGGUUGAGAGAAAACAAAAUAAAAUGUAGCUGACCUCUUUUAUCAUUCCUGGUAACAUACACUUAGGUUAAAAUCCCUUACCCUCUAAAUGCAAUGAUUUUCUGUUGUUUUGAGGGGGUAUUUCUGUUUUGAUUGUCUGAAUUCACUAGUAAAUAAACGUUCCCUUAGUGAGCCAGACCAGCCAAUGUGCCCAAGAAGCUGGUGGAGGAUCAGCCAACACCCUGGCCUUUCAAAGAGUCAGCUAUUUGUUUUAACCCAUUUCUUCCUGAGCUAUACUUUAAACAUGCAUCCUGAGUUUUUUUUUUUUUCUUGAUCAGGUCUACGGUAGGGUUUUCCAGUGUUAUUUCAAAGUAAAGCAAUUUAUGUAUCAAUCUUAUCACUAGCCACUAUCACUUGGCUCUCUUAGCAAGUCAGAAAGAACAUAGGUCACAGCAACUAGAGCAAGAGCAGCAUUUACCUUUACUGAACUGUCCAACUGCCCCUGAUAAGAUCUAAUGUCAUUAGGAGCUCAAGAAUGAAAAAAAAAAAACAGCACUUACAAAGGAGGACGGUAUUAAUGACAAAGAAUCCCCAUGGUUUGGUCACAUUAGAAACACAACGCCUUCAUUCUUCAUCAAUAUUUAUUGGGCGCCUAUUAUG